UAGGGAAUCUUCGGCAAUGGGGGGAACCCUGACCGAGCAACGCCGCGUGAGUGAAGAAGGUUUUCGGAUCGUAAAGCUCUGUUGUUAAGGAAGAACGAGUGUGAGAAUGGAAAGUUCAUGCUGUGACGGUACUUAACCAGAAAGGGACGGCUAACUACGUGCCAGCAGCCGCGGUAAUACGUAGGUCCCGAGCGUUGUCCGGAUUUAUUGGGCGUAAAGCGAGCGCAGGCGGUCAAUUAAGUCGGAUGUGAAAGCCCCCGGCUCAACCGGGGAGGGUCAUUGAAAACUGGUUGACUUGAGUGCAGAAGAGGAGAGUGGAAUUCCAUGUGUAGCGGGGAAAUGCGUAGAUAUAUGGAGGAACACCAGUGGCGAAGGCGACUCUCUGGUCUGUAACUGACGCUGAGGCUCGAAAGCGUGGGUAGCAAACAGG
rnacentral:rRNA from 1 species